rnacentral:rRNA from 1 species
GUAGGUGGCAAGCGUUGUCCGGAAUUAUUGGGCGUAAAGCGCGCGCAGGCGGUUCUUUAAGUCUGAUGUGAAAGCCCACGGCUCAACCGUGGAGGGUCAUUGGAAACUGGAGAACUUGAGUACAGAAGAGGAAAGCGGAAUUCCACGUGUAGCGGUGAAAUGCGUAGAGAUGUGGAGGAACACCAGUGGCGAAGGCGGCUUUCUGGUCUGUAACUGACGCUGAGGCGCGAAAGCGUGGGGAGCAAACAGGAUUAGAUACCCUGGCAGUACACGCCGUAAACGAUGAGUGCUAAGUGUUAGGGGGUUUCCGCCCCUUAGUGCUGCAGCUAGCGCAUUAAGCACUCCGCCCUGGGAGUACGGCCGCAAGGCUG